GGGCUACACACGUGCUACAAUGGGUAGUACAGGGGGUUGCCAAGCCGUAAGGUGGAGCUAAUCCCUUAAAGCUACUCUCAGUUCGGAUUGUAGGCUGAAACUCGCCUACAUGAAGCUGGAGUUACUAGUAAUCGCAGAU
rnacentral:rRNA from 1 species